CAGACGAGUUUCCCUAUUGGCCUAUUUUACGUAGUGGAGUGAUUUCAUACGGGAACACCACGUCAUAAACUUGCUGCGUGGCUUAUUUUUAUGACAUGGCUACGAUAUGCAUUGGGGUAACCUGCCAGUGGUUUUAAGUUCUGAAAAGUUUCAAAAAAAAAACUCCAUAAACUUAAACUAAUGUCAAAACUCACAUACCUGCAGAUUUUCGUUAAGAAAUAUAAUCAUUUUUUUUAAUAUUUUUUUUGAGGAAAAGGACGGUCGUUUCCGUCGUUCGAUUAGAAAGAAGGGAAACUGUACAAAAGCGGGCUCCUAGGAGCCCAAGGAGAGGGGAGGGGAGAAAAUAAAAGAGAGGAAAAAACCUCGGAGGGAGAAGAGGCUAACUAUCUACGGACUCGGGGCUGGCGAUCACACACAGGGAGAAGGAGGAGGCGAUCCCCACCCACUUCGGAGCAUGCCUUGGUACUGCGGUGCCCAGAUCGGCGGGGCUCAAUUGGCCGGAGUCGGGCUACGGCCCACAUGAUUUGAGCCACCUGGAGCGCCCCUUCUCCAUGGAGG
rnacentral:lncRNA from 1 species